rnacentral:piRNA from 1 species
AUAAUAACAUUGGAGAAAAAUUCCACACCC